GCGGAGAAUCAGGGUUCGACUCCGGAGAGCGGGCCUGAGAGACGGCCCGCAC
rnacentral:rRNA from 1 species